rnacentral:lncRNA from 1 species
GAUCCAAAUAGCUAGGGACCAAAAAAAUAUGAAGUCAAACUCAGUAGCCUUGCUGUGAAUAGCCGAUGACACCGCAGGUCAAAGGACCACUCAUACCAUAGCAGCAUCGAGAUAACCACUGACAAGUGAGUAGACAUCCAAGUGGUUUCUCAUGUUGAUCAUGCUUAGUACAAGUUAUUCUCUAACAAUCACUUGCACUCUCACCCC